UACACACCGCCCGUCACACCAUGGGAGUUGACUGCACCAGAAGUAGGUAGCUUAACCGCAAGGGGGGCGCUUACCACGGUGUGGCCAAUGACUGGGGUG
rnacentral:rRNA from 1 species